UGACAGUGAUGAUGAUGAUGACAGUUGUCUUUUUUCCUGAAGUGUACAUGUGGGUUUUCAGUCACUACCUCAUCUGAACAGUCA